UGAGUAACACGUGGGUAACCUGCCUGUAAGACUGGGAUAACUCCGGGAAACCGGAGCUAAUACCGGAUAGUUCCUUGAACCGCAUGGUUCAAGGAUGAAAGACGGUUUCGGCUGUCACUUACAGAUGGACCCGCGGCGCAUUAGCUAGUUGGUGGGGUAAUGGCUCACCAAGGCGACGAUGCGUAGCCGACCUGAGAGGGUGAUCGGCCACACUGGGACUGAGACACGGCCCAGACUCCUACGGGAGGCAGCAGUAGGGAAUCUUCCGCAAUGGACGAAAGUCUGACGGAGCAACGCCGCGUGAGUGAUGAAGGUUUUCGGAUCGUAAAGCUCUGUUGUUAGGGAAGAACAAGUGCGAGAGUAACUGCUCGCACCUUGACGGUACCUAACCAGAAAGCCACGGCUAACUACGUGCCAGCAGCCGCGGUAAUACGUAGGUGGCAAGCGUUGUCCG
rnacentral:rRNA from 1 species